AAAAAAUUGCUCCACGGUCUUUUGCUCUUCCCGUGACAAAACAACUGGAAGCAAAUUUUACUCCAUCUAUCCCUAUCAAUCUGGACAACAAAUUCAUGCCGCCACCAUCGGUUCUCUUUUUGUUUUCCCAGCACGUUGCCCCACCUCCAUCCAUCCUUGAGGCCGCCGGUCGCGCCAUGACGACGGCACGAAAAAAUCUCGCCGACGAUUUCCACCACACAAAGCGCUAUGGCCGAUCUGUAGCAUGGCAUCGUUGCAGGAUGGAUCCCAGCCUCAUCCGCUCCUCUAAUUUUUCCAUGUUCUUGAUCUAGGGGACCGUCGUCCCUGAGCAUGGCGUUGUUGUAGGAUAGAUCCCAGCCUUACCUGCACCUAUAAUUCUACUAUGUUCUUGAUCUAGGAGACCGUCGUCCCAGCCGCAUAGGAGUUGGAGGUGUUGUUGACUAAGUUCCUUGCAUGUACACGGGAGCAUGGGUGAUGGUGGUACUCCUUGGCACAUGGGUUGUGGUCCUGAAGGCCAGAUGCAAGUCGUUAUGCUCAUAGUCUCACAAACAACGCAAAGCCACACAGGAUUUUUCUGCCAUGUGCCAUGUCUUGGAUUUCACAUAGAUGAACAAGAGUCAAUUCUUGAGCGAGAUACCCAGCUGCAGGUGGUUGUUUGACCAGUUGUGAGAUGUUUCAUAAGGCACCUAAUGGAUGUUUGUGUUGUUCGCAUGUUCCACUUUAUAUCCAGGUCGUAUGGUCGAGAGCCGAGAAAGAGGCAGUAGGAUGGUUGGUCCAACCUUAUUGAGAAAAUUCUGAGCAUGUGAUCAUUGUCCAGAUUUCUCUCGCUUAACAAUUAUCACCAUCAUCUGCACUAGUAUAUUUGCAUGGAUUGUCUGACAAAAAGUCAACCAGUGAUCUAUGGUUGGAUGUUCGCAGUAGUCACCAGCUGACCAGCGUCGAUCAAUCAACACCCGCAGCUGCAUCGUUCAUACAAGGUCAGGACUCAUAUAGGAAUCCAUGUUGUUACAAUGUCUCCUUAAUUUCUCUCCUCCCCUUCCAGCAUAUAUGGGUGAGGUCCCACACAAAGUUGUUGCUUGCACUAUGUCAUGGCCAAGGGUGAAUACACCACAUGGUGAGGAUCGAUGCCUUAUGAGCUAUGAUUUCCUAUUUAAUGUUAGAUAUGAAACAUAUCCCGUGUUUUAGUAAUUAUAGCUCUGUCUCUGUACUAUAGAUGAAUAAUAGAAUUAAUAAUUUCUCUAACUUGAGUUGUAACUGAAAAAUGCCUGCCUAUGAUUAUCAGUAGUUGUACAAGGACAAUGCUCAUCCACUGAUGGGUUUUCCUUACUAUAAUUUGUAUUAUUGGCUGCCGUAGAAUAUGGUAAUGGAAUGAUUCUACCGUGUUACAGCUCUCUAUAUAUAACCAAGCAAACAAGAGAAACUUAUAUAAAAAGGAAAAUCUGGGGCACUCAUCCGGGCCUAACAUGGAAGUAAAUUUGAAACUUUCGUCCAUCAUCGAUGUUGUGCAUAUAUACUAGAUGAAGAAUACAAUGAGUAUCUACAUUCCAAAUUUAAAUUUUACACAUGCUCAAAUAUGUGAUUCAGGUGCAAAUAGUUAUAUGUAACGAUGUUUGCCAUAAUGUUCAACAUAAUCUUUCUAGAAGUUACCCUAUAGGGCAUAAACAGGCCCCAUGUUGUAUCAAUUCUUAGUUUCUUAUAAUCUCACUUGAAUAAGGUAUCUUCUUGAAUUACCAACUGUUUUUCGUUACCCAAUUAAUUUGAAGUGUCAACCAUAUGAAUUAUAUGGGAUAUUCUUUUUUUCCUAGAUUGAGUUUUCAAGGGAAACAAUUGUUUAUAAUUAUGGAAAACAAAAGAAUUUGCUAAGUUUGCCAUAUGCUAAGGUCUAAGCAAGUAGGCAAUAACUAGCAGACUUUGCAUAUUACUGAAAUGAGACAAAUAAUACUCACUCUAAUCCAUAUUAAUUGUCAUUGACUCAUGUUUUCUUUCCUCAUGUUUAAGAACUUAUAUCAGAUUACCUCACCACAAACUAUUUUUAGCUGUACAGGCACAUACGAUUGCUGGUUGCAGCCAACUAACAGAUUUGCGAAAGUACAUUCCUACGAAAUGUCAUGUUUCAAAUCCUCGAGGAUUCAGUAGAUGGGUCAUUCAUAUCUGAUUUCAUAAAACACAUUAUUAUCUGAUAAUAUAUAUAUAUAUAUAUAUAUAUUCGAAUGGGAUAUUAAUUAACAAGGCCGUGCAACGCACGGGUUGACGACUAGUACUAAUUAAUAAGACAUAUGUCUUGCCAAAGGGUCGAAUGAUUGGACGGUCUUCAUUAUUUGGAAUAGCAGGAGGAAGAUCUGAAACUCCUCUUACAUACCCAUCGUAAGUGCCAUCAGCAGCAGUAGUGUUCCGAGCAAUAGGCGCUGGUUUGAUGGCUACAGCAAGUCGAGAUGCUUUUCUUCCAAUUGUCAUCCUGUAACGUGUGAUUCUUGAAAAAAAUAAGAUAAAGAUAACAAAGAACAGUUUAUAAUCAACUAGACAAUCAAGAUAAAACAUAACAAUAGCAUAUACAUAAGUGUUUGUUGCCAAGUAUUCAACCACCCAAAUUAGAAACAACAAUAAUAAAUAGAAAAUGGGCUAGAAAUCAUCAUCAUCUUCUUCAAUUUCCUCAAUGAUCACUUCAUCAUAGUCUUCAUCCUCAAUAACUUGUUCUUGAAUCCUUUCACCACCCAAAUUAUGUCGGUUGCUAAUAUGAGACAAUUCGGUUGGAUCAACCAACUCAUCUGAACCACGUACUGUUAAGUUGUCAAGUUGUGAUCCUACUUGUACAAUGAAAUCACUGGCCUCUAAAUUAUUCUCCUGGAACACAUCUGCAUUAGUGGGUGUUGCUGUUGUGUAGUCAUCAUGUGUGGGAUUUUACAGAUUGCCUAGAGGUGGUACCUUGUAAGCAACUUGCCAAUCAAUAAGACUUGCAACUGAAGUGCAAGCAUAUGGAAUAUAAUAAACUAAGCACACUUGGCUGGCAAUAGCAAAACGCCCAUUAGCUGGGUUGGUUGACGCAGGUGCUACUUCAACUAAGCCAAAUCUAUUCAAAUGCCUCACUCCUUUAGUUGGAUGAAACCAGUGACAAUCAAACAUCACAAGACUGAAGUCCUCAUCACCAUCAAAUUUAAGUUCUAUGACGUCCUUAAUAACACCGUAGUAUUCAAGCUCCUCAUUGGUUGCAUCAUCUAUUCCAAGAGCAAGAACACCGGUAUUUCUAGAAGAAAGGUCCCCUUCUUUAUGGUUUUCAUAUUUCUAUGAUCGAAAUCUGAACCCAUUAACUUCAUACAUGUCAUAGGACUUUACUCUCAUGCUACAACCUCACGAAAGAUCGCGUAAUUCUUUAUUAAUAGAUGCAUCCUUUAUGCACUGCAAGAAGACAAUAUAUGUACAUAGAGUUAUUAGGCAUUGAAAACUACAGGGUGCUUUAUUUGCUAGUAUGUAUAGUGCUUUACCAAAGUUUUGAACCAAUCCAACAAGUUCGGUUUUCCUGAACCAGCACCAUCAUGCCUAAGUUUAUCAAGUUCUUUUGUAAUUGGUUGUCGAGGACGCCUCCAUUGGUCAAAUUCAAAUUGUCUACAUUUUUUUGUUUAAACCUUCAGUACCAAAUUUAAUUUAUUGUAGAUGGUUGUAACAGAAAUGCUAAUUCAGAUAACUUACUUCACAAUAUCAUCCAUUUCAGGCAUGUUUAUUAAGAUAAAAAUCAUGGCUGUCUUGUAUUCUUCAUGUGAUAAGAUCCUAGGCUCCCCUCUACCAAUUUUCCAUCCCUUGUCUUCAAACAAACUAAGAGUACUUGUGCUCGGAGUGCUAGUUUGUGCAUAGCGUUGGGUACUUGUGCUUGGAGUACUGAGCAUCCAAAUACAUGGUCUGGUUUUCUACUUAAAUCUGAAAUAAAAAUGAAUUGCUACAAUCACCAGCCGCAUCCCCACACAAAAUACAUCAUACACACUAAAAUAGAAAACCACUCAUCAGCCAACAAAAAAUAACCCCAGUUCCUAUAUCAUACAGAUGAACAAUGCAUUAAUCGACAUUUAUUCAUGGAAAGAACAGAUCAUAAUACCUACUUGAUUCCAGUUGAGCAAUGUCUUUGUUCUCUAUUGCUUUGACAACUGUUGUUUCAACACCACGAACAGGAGCAUUUUCUUCAAGCAAACAACACCAACACUAGUCAGUUUCUGAAAAAAUGUACAAAACCAAUGAACGAUGUUGGAGGACUUCCAUUUAUUCAUAACAUAAAACAGAGGCUACUAGCUUUGGCCAGAGAAAACAAACUCAAUAGAUAGACUAUAUGAAAUACCUACUUCUAUUGAUAUUAUACGAAUGUCGCAUGGAAAGUGGACAAGAAAAUCAUACGAUGCUCAACAUGGAUAACUAUAUAAUAAUCAUGUGGAUAACUAUACAUCAAUGGUAAAACACAUAGAAAAUUUCAUGUACAUAACUACAGCAAUUGUAAAAUGCAGUAGCCCUGCCACUUUUACCUAAAUUCAAGGAUGGCAUCAUUCAAGAUGGAUCACUGAAGCUACUAUUUCUGUCAUUCAUGCACUUGCAGUAGCCGUGAACAAACUCAACAGAUAGACUAUAUGAAAUAUUUCCUACUCACUGUGUUGAAAUAUCUUGUCUACAUUCUGACAUCAAUUUACAUAGUUGAAUGGCUCAUUCAUGUGUUCAUGCAUCUUCAUAUCAAUCAGUUCUUCUAUUUCCUUUUUAGCUAUAAAUUUCUUUUAUUCCUUUGACCUUCCAUACACCUUUUAUACGCAAGAUAUUGAAACUGACAACCCCAAGUGCUGACGAUGCUACUAAACAACGUCAAGAUGUACUGAAUAGUGGACAACACACUUCUUGCUUUCGAUGCUAAAACCAAAUCAUAAUUUCAUAAUUUUGCUACUCAUAUACAGUUACAACUAUCUAAACUAGCAAUCAAAAAACUAUCUAAACCAGAGAGUGAGAGAGAUGGAGAGAGAACCUUUUCGACUAGAGCAGCGGCUUACAAUAGCAGGCAGAUCCGGUCGUCGUCCAAUCAGCGAGGAUGGCACCGCCACCACGGUCAAGGGUGGCGCAGUUAGCACGAGUUGAGGGCAUCGCAGAUGGAGUCACCGCGAGCGGCACCAAGCCGUCACCCAGCCGGCGUGGCCAGGGCCACCGUGCCCGUCGCGACCAUGGUGUGACUAGGUCACGAUGUAGUACACAGAAAGGGAGUGGCGGAGUGAGGCGGGCAGGGGAGCGGCGGAGUGAGGCGAGGAGGGGAGCGGCGGAGCUAGG